rnacentral:lncRNA from 1 species
AAGAAUAAUAAUAUGAGCAAUUCGGAGCAUAACUGAAUAUUUGCGCUACUUUGUUUGACAUAGUAUUAGAGCCAAGUUCUCUUGUGACCUGUGCUUGCAUUCUUCUUGCAAUUUAAGUGCUCUCCUCCCCUCAUCUUCAAGGGGGGAGGGGGGAGUGAAAAUGGAUAUGUUUCUAUUUCCUAUAUCUUAUCUCUCUCUAAUGUGUUGCUUGCCCCAUUACCUUAACGUAUUCCCACGAAGAAAUUGUUUAUUUCUUGGCUCCAACGACCCCUUCUCUUU